rnacentral:misc_RNA from 1 species
UUCUCCCUAUUGAAGCCUUUAGCAGCGACUGUAAACAAAUGCCCAGUUUGCAUUCUGCAAGCAAUGCCACUCAAAUGCUGAGACUAUUGAAUCAGCAGCCUUUCAGGCUCACAGAUCAGAUAGUGGUAACCAAAUCCUUGGUCAAGAUAUGACCGGUCUUAACUAGAGUUAGUUAAGAAUCAACGUUCCGUAGGUGAACCUGCGGAAGGAUCAUUAAUAGUUUAGGGUACUGACUUAGUGCCCAAACUUC